ACACAGAGGGAUAUUUGUCAUUGCAGUGAUAAAACUGUGAGCAGCUUGGAGUUCAGUCAUGCCAGGGAGAGAAUAUGAUACUUUACACGAACACGUCAAGGUUUGGCAGCAAAAAGAAAACCAGGUGAGGAUAAUAUUCCCAGCCUCAAGAGAUCAUAUUCUUUGGAAAAAUGAUAGGAGAAAAAAACAUCAGGGCUAUUAUCUUCUGUACUUAGAGGAAGACUGACGGAGAAAAUGUGAGUAUUGCACCUUCGAAUUUUCUUCAUACAGC
rnacentral:lncRNA from 1 species